CCAGGAGAAGGGGAAGCUUGUACAGGGCCCUGAGUCCACCUGCUGAGCAAAGGAGAGACGUGGCCGAGAGCGGGUGGGUCGGAGCCUGGAGGGGCUGAAGUCAAGGCGAGGACGGGGGUCUUCAUCCUACAGCAAUGGGACCUCUAAAGGCUUCAGUCCAGACUCACUCCAUAUUGGAUUGGCUGUGUGUGGAUUGGAAUUGCUCACAGUGGAAGGAAGAGCCAGGUAGGAAGCUGAAGCUUGAUUGAGUUUCGAUGCUUGAAACCACGAAGUUGUUUUCCUACACACGGCCGCACCUGGCCGGAGGUGAGCAGCGCUGCCAGCUUCAGAGGAGGUGCUUUCUCUUUCUCCCCAGCCGCCUUCUGCUCGGCUUGCUCUUCGGUUUCCUUCCUGCCCGGACUCUGCACAGGACUCCACUUCCAUGUCACCUGCUCUGUGGGACAGCCUUUCUUGGGAGUCCCCAGCAGAGACUGAGCCGCCGAUAAGACUCCCGAAGCCGAGACGCAGAGCUUCCAAGCCCACCUCGGAGCCGUGGGCGGAGGCCUGUUUAUUUUGGGUUUGAUGAGGAAAUCAUGUGGAACGGAAUCAAAAGCUCUGCUGAAGUCGAGACAGAUGACAUCUGUCACUUCCUCUUACUCCAUCAGGCCGGAGGAGUGGGCACUGGAUUAAUCAGACAGGCUCUUGCCAGCGUCUGCCAGCAGUGACUCACGCCCCCCUCUCCCCCGCACGGGCGAGCGAGAAGAGUGAAUCCUCACCCUGUCGUUUCUCCUAGGAGGGAGUAUACCGGAGGUCAAACACCGGUACAAUCUUUUUCUCUUUAAAAAUGCACAUGUACUGUGAGCACUAGUAUUUGGAAUGUCUGCCAUCGAAAUCAAACGUUCUUGUUUCUGCAUCAACAUGCCAGUGCGAGUACAUGGAAGCUUUGACAGACGUUAAGUAGUGACAUGGCCUGGCUAAGCGACCUCUAACUGAAGAGGGGGCUCUCUCUGGGGGACUCUCUGGGGGCGGUGGGUAAUCCAGUGUGAUUAAAGGGAGCCUGGUCUCUGUUCAUCUGCGUAAACACGGGGCACCUUGGGAGGUGCCGCCGCAGAGUCUACAGGGCCCCCUGCCAGCUGUGGCCACCUGUCUUCAGGCUGCACUUGUGUGGCCCUGAGUGUCCUUUACUCACCUCUCCGGGCCCGACCCCUUCUGACCUCUGGGAAUGGCCCGUUUCCCACGACCUUGACCUUGGGACUCAGGCACAGGACAGACCCCGCGUUCUCACAACCUGACAGUGAGAGCACCUGCCCCCCCACUUGCCCCAUCGAGUCCUGGCCCUGUCCAGGCACUUGUCCCUCACUGGCUGGGUCCUCCAUCCGUCUGCCGUCCCCUCUAGAACUGGGUCCUGCCCUGCCUCGCUGUCACUCGCAGGCCCUGGGUGUUUCGUUCUAUUCAAUUCUCCCGAAACUGGCCUUGCCCUCAUCUGGCCUUCUGACCCCAUAGGAGAGCUGACCCUGUGUGUACUCUUGCCUGGCUCCUCACAGUGGGGAGGCUGAGGCAGGAUAGAAACAGCCUUGCACUUGAGCGCCAGCUGUUCCAUGUGCCGCCUGCACAGUAUGAGAGUCUUAGACUCUGAGCUUCCCUUUGUGCAGAUGAAGAGUGUGAGUGACACAACCAACCCUUGAGCAACGUGGUCUACACUGCACAGGUCUACACUGCACGGAGUUCUUCCAGUAUAGCUUAGACCUGCAAUCACCUAUGUGCCUGCCUCUCCUGCCUCCCCUCCCGCCUCCUCCAGCUGUUCUGACUCUGCCUCCCUCUCCCUCCUGCUCCUCAGCCUACUCCACAUGAGGAUGAUGAGGGUGGAGAACUUUAGAAUAAUCCAUUUCCACUUAAUGACUAAUAAAUAUAUUUUCUCUUCUUCAUGAUUUUCUUGGUAACAGUGUCUUUUCUCUAGCUGACUUUAUUGUAAGAAGACAGUAUAUAAUACAUAUGACAUGCAGAAUACAUGUUAAUCGACUGUUUAUGUUAUCGGUAGGGCUUCUGGCCAGCAGUAGGCUCUUAGUAGUUAAGUUCUGGGGAGUCAGGAAUUACACGUAGAUUUUCAACUACAUGGGGGUUGGCGCCCCACAUUGUUCAUGGGUCAACUGCAAUAUCUUUUUAACAAAGUUGUAAGGAUUAAGUCAAUAUAAAGAAUGUGUCUGGGUUAAUGCCUGGCAUGGGGCAGGACAAUGUUGGUCAAACUCAGCAAAUGGAACCGGGAAAGGCCAAGAUCAUGCCAGAGACCAGUCUCUGUGAUUUCAAGGAGACACCAGGCGAAUUUUGCUAAUUCAGUGGCUUUUGGGUUUGGAUAUUGAAUCUGGAGAAACUCCAAGGUAGAAAGAACUCCCUCUGCCCAGUAAUUCUUCCCCGUGGUGAUUGUGCUGAACUGUCAGGGGCUGGAGAGGGUGAAGCCGUGCGACCGUCCGCUCUUGCAGUCUCAUGGUCUUGAGAUCUUACGGCAUCGAGGUUUAUCACUGGGGAUCUUGCCAUGUUGAGAUGUUUCAACCCACA